rnacentral:pre_miRNA from 1 species
AAUAAUUACAGUUUUGUACUAUUUACGUUCAAUGUUUGACUGUUUAUUUUAUUUAUUUUUUUUAUUAAUAUUUUUAUUGCUAUUAGAUAAUAAAACAUGAAUAAUAAUUUAUGUGUGACUAAAUAUUUUUAUUUUUUUACAAAAUUUUUAAAUAAGAUGGACGUUUAAACGUUGAGCACGGAUAUCCACGGCUGCACUUAUU